rnacentral:rRNA from 1 species
AGAGUUUGAUCCUGGCUCAGAUUGAACGCUGGCGGUAUGCCUUACACAUGCAAGUCGAACGGUAGAGGGGCAACCCUUGAGAGUGGCGAACGGGUGAGUGAUACAUCGGAACGUGCCCAGUCGUGGGGGAUAACGUAGCGAAAGCUACGCUAAUACCGCAUACGACCUGAGGGUGAAAGCGGGGGAUCGCAAGACCUCGCGCGAUUGGAGCGGCCGAUGGCAGAUUAGGUAGUUGGUGGGGUAAAGGCCUACCAAGCCUGCGAUCUGUAGCUGGUCUGAGAGGACGACCAGCCACACUGGGACUGAGACACGGCCCAGACUCCUACGGGAGGCAGCAGUGGGGAAUUUUGGACAAUGGGCGAAAGCCUGAUCCAGCCAUACCGCGUGCGGGAAGAAGGCCUUCGGGUUGUAAACCGCUUUUGUCAGGGAAGAAAUCUUCUGGGCUAAUACCUCGGGAGGAUGACGGUACCUGAAGAAUAAGCACCGGCUAACUACGUGCCAGCAGCCGCGGUAAUACGUAGGGUGCAAGCGUUAAUCGGAAUUACUGGGCGUAAAGCGUGCGCAGGCGGUUCCAUAAGACAGAUGUGAAAUCCCCGGGCUCAACCUGGGAACUGCAUUUGUGACUGUGGAGCUAGAGUACGGUAGAGGGGGAUGGAAUUCCGCGUGUAGCAGUGAAAUGCGUAGAUAUGCGGAGGAACACCAAUGGCGAAGGCAAUCCCCUGGACCUGUACUGACGCUCAUGCACGAAAGCGUGGGGAGCAAACAGGAUUAGAUACCCCGGUAGU